rnacentral:tRNA from 1 species
UCCCUGGUGGCUCAGAGGUUAAAGCGUCUGCCUGCAAUGCAGGAGACCCAGGUUCAAUCCCUGGAUCGGGAA